UACGGGGGGGGCAAGCGUUGUUCGGAAUUACUGGGCGUAAAGGGCUCGUAGGCGGCCAGCUAAGUCAGACGUGAAAUCCCUCGGCUUAACCGGGGAACUGCGUCUGAUACUGGAUGGCUUGAGUUUGGGAGAGGGAUGCGGAAUUCCAGGUGUAGCGGUGAAAUGCGUAGAUAUCUGGAGGAACACCGGUGGCGAAGGCGGCAUCCUGGACCAACACUGACGCUGAGGAGCGAAAGCCAGGGGAGCAAACGGG
rnacentral:rRNA from 1 species